rnacentral:lncRNA from 1 species
UCUGCAACGGCUACAUGAAUGAAGACAAUGUGAAUACUGCUUGUUCUAUGAUGUGAAAGGAAAUAGAACUAAAGAGGGGAGAUUGUUACCAUGAUAUGUGACACUGUAAAAACUCCAAUCAUACCAUCGUUGUCUGGAGGUAGCUCCAAUCCUGAAUCUUCUCCAAAAAACAAAACCUGAAAUACCAGGUUUGGGUCGAGCGCCAGGUCAAAAAUCAUGGCCCAAACAAGCAGUACACACUACACAAAAAAUCAAUACAAAAAGAUUGACAACUCAAAUGGUCGUAGAAAAGGUGCACGAAAAUCUCUAUAGCCCAGUCAAAUAAGUAAUAAAAAAAGGUCCGAAAUGAGCCGUAGGAGGGCUUGCCUCCAGUUUAUUAAUACCUGGCCUUCUCUUUCUGCAAGUAAAUAUUGUCACUGCCCAACAACUAACGCUUUGUCCAAGAUUAACAUAUUUGUGUGUUCACUAAAACAAGUAAGUCUAAAUUUAUAGAUGCAAAACAAUGGAGUAGUAGAUGCAACUUUGCAGAUACAGAACGUGCAUAGAUGACCAAUAUCAGUAUCAAGUAUCAACACAUCACUAAUAGCAGUGUGGACUAGUUCAUGCUUGUUAUUUAGUAAGCAAGAAAGAGGGCUUGGACUUCCAUGGUAAUCAAGAGUUCUAUGGCAGUAAGGAAGAAUAGGGAAAUAUAUAUAGUUAGUAUAUAGAUGGAGGAUUUGUACGUUGCAGCAAGUAAAUUGGCAAGGAGAUUCGAGAUCCCUGACUGGUAACUCAUUUUACAUCAUUGAGCCAGUCAGCAUGGCAGUACGAUGCAAGUAGGAACAUGCCAGUAGUGCAACCCAUGAGAAGGAGAUGAUAGCUAAAUAGCUUAGGUGGUCAGGUUAGCUGCAAGAAGGUAGAUGACUCCAGAGGGCACAGAUUAACUGAAUGACAGUAUACUGAAAUUAGCAUAUAGAAUUUUGAGGUGGUUGCAGAGAGAUUGUGAUUCAGAGAUGAAAGGCACAAAGGCAGUUGUAGUGUUUUGGCAUCCUGGUUUGUGUUCACAGUGCAUGCAUUUUUAGUUGUUCUACUCAAAGAACUCUUGAACAUACUUGUCGACAGGCAUGAUCUGAUGAUGCCCAACUUGUGCACCACUAGCAAGUGGCAACAUGUUGUAGAUAGUCAGAUGAAAAUCAAUGUAGCAAAUUUCUAGUUCCCAAUUCUACAGAUUCGACAGUCGCAGAUUCGACAGAAUCACUCCACCAACAUUUAUCCAGUUUUCAAUCGAUUAUAGCUGAAACUGAACUGCAAUCACCAAAAAUAAAACUGCUACUUUGUAAACUGAACUGCAAUCAAACUAAGCACACUGCACACAAAAUCCGCCAUGAGCUUGCAAUAGUAGAAUUCAGGUACACUGCACAUUAUAUCAGUUCAGAAACAAACUAAAUCCACCAUGAGCUUGCAGUAUAGCAUAAGUGAUAGUACUCGUAACAUUCAGGUACACUUAAGGCUUGAUUUUUUCUGCUAGGUCUGGUUUACUGAUUAUAUCUUGGUGUCCCACAUUUGUAUCUAUGCAGCAAAGGGUUAAAUCUUCAGGGACCACUAUCUAUGGAGAUGUCAGAACUGAUUGUACCUUGGUGUUCAGGAUGGAGGCUGAGAUCCCAGUGGCCUUCAGUGCAGACUUGGAGACGCCCUCGUCCAGGGAGGUGGCCGCGGUCCCGAUGGUGUUCUCGUCCAGAGAGAGGUCGCUGUUGUCCAGGUACAGUCGCGACGGUGCUUGUUGCGGAGGCUGCGAUAGCGCUCGAGAGGUUGCGGCCGCGGCCGAGAUCACAACGCUCGCGCACGAACGUCCAGAGAGAGGAUCGGGGCGCAAGAUCGC